rnacentral:rRNA from 1 species
UACGAAGGGGGCUAGCGUUGCUCGGAAUCACUGGGCGUAAAGGGUGCGUAGGCGGGUCUUAAGUCAGGGGUGAAAUCCUGGAGCUCAACUCCAGAACUGCCUUUGAUACUGAAGAUCUUGAGUUCGGGAGAGGUGAGUGGAACUGCGAGCGUAGAGGUGAAAUUCGUAGAUAUUCGCAAGAACACCAGUGGCGAAGGCGGCUCACUGGCCCGAUACUGACGCUGAGGCACGAAAGCGUGGGGAGCAACAGGG